CCUGGUCAAUUUCCUACUAAGGAUCAGGGCAGCAAUGGACAACUGGGAAUUCCAAUCAUCAGGAAACUUGCCAAUUCUUCACUCAGAAAAGACUCUGCCCAGAAGCACUCCAUUCAGAAUGAAACCUCUACCACCGUGUUGGGCUGCCAAUAGCAAUAAUCGUGGGAGGACUUACCAAAGCCACAAGAAAGACAACCUCCAUGCAGAUCUCUCCUAUAUGUACUAACUGAUCCAGAGUUGCAACCUUGUCAACAUGUUUGAUUUAGCUUCAUUUGAAAUGGCUCAGAAGAAAAAGAGGGAGGAAGAGGAAGAGGAGGAAGAAAAGAGGAAGAAAGAAAAGAAGGAAGGAAGAAAGAAAAGAAGGAAGGAAGAAAGAAAGAAAGAAAGAAAGAAAGAAAGAAAGAAAGAAAGAAAGAAAGAAAGAAAGAAAGAAAGAAAGAAAGAAAGAAAGAAAGAAAGAAAGAAAGAAAGAAAGAAAGAAAGAAAGAAAGAAAGAAAGAAAGAAAGAAAGAAAGAAAGAAAGAAAGAAAGAAAGAAAGAAAGGAAGAAAGAAAGAAAGGAAGAAAGAAAGAAAGGAAGGAAGGAAGGAAGGAAGGAAGGAAGGAAGGAAGGAAGGAAGGAAGGAAGGAAGGAAGGAAGGAAGGAAGGAAGGAAGGAAGAAGAAGAAGAAGAAGGAAGAAAGAAAGAAAGAAAGAAAGAAAGAAAGAAAGAAAGAAAGAAAGAAAGAAAGAAAGAAAGAGAGAGAGAGAGAAAGAAAGAAAGAAAGAAAGAAAGAAAGAAAGAAAGAAAGAAAGAAAGAAAGAAAGAAAGAAAGAAAGAAAGAAAGAAAGAAAGAAAGAAGGGAGGGAUCAAUAAAAAUCAAUCUUUUUUUUUUUUUAAGGAUGAUGUAUGGACUACUCUACCCAAUGCUCUGGGAAUUUCCCACUUUUGCAAAGUGGUGGGGGUUAUGGUCUCCUAUUUCUUCUUUGGAGCCAAGCUUGUUGUUAAAAAUUUCACAUUCAUCUUUGUUUUGUGGUUGAAACUAUGCAUACUGUCUUUGUAGCUCUGAUUACUUCACUUUGUAUCAGCUCACAUAAGUCCAUGUUUUUCUGUAUGUGUCGUGUUUAUCAUUUCUCACAAAACAAUAAUAUUCCAUUACAUUCAUGUACCACAAUGUAUUUAGUCAUUCUCUACUUAAUGGGUGUCUACUUUAUUUCUGUUUUUUUUUUUGCCAACACACACACAUGCAAAAAAACGCUACUACAAAUAUUUUUUGUAAUAAUUAGUCAUUUGGGGACAUAACGGGAAAAACAGAUAGGGAAAUU
rnacentral:lncRNA from 1 species